GCGAUAAGGGGACCUCGAGUGCCAGGUUACAAAUCUGGCUGUCGUGAUGCCUAAAAAGCAUUGCAUAGCAAGGGCCGGGCAAGACCGGUGCCAGCCGCCGCGGUAACACCGGCGGCUCGAGUGGUAACCGUUAUUAUUGGGUCUAAAGGGUCUGUAGCCGGCCGGAUAAGUCUCUUGAGAAAUCCAGCAGCUCAACUGUUGGGCUUUCAGGAGAUACUGUUCGGCUCGAGGCCGGGAGAGGUGAGAGGUACUUCAGGGGUAGGGGUGAAAUCUUGUAAUCCUUGAAGGACCACCAGUGGCGAAGGCGUCUCACCAGAACGGACCUGACGGCAAGGGACGAAAGCUAGGGGCACGAACCGGAUUAGAUACCCGGGUAGUCCUAGCCGUAAACGAUACUCGCUAGGUGUCGGCCACGGUGCGACCGUUGUCGGUGCCGUAGGGAAGCCGUGAAGCGAGC
rnacentral:rRNA from 1 species